rnacentral:rRNA from 1 species
GACGAACGCUGGCGGCGUGCUUAACACAUGCAAGUCGAACGCUGAAGCUCAGCUUUUGUUGGGUGGAUGAGUGGCGAACGGGUGGGUAACACGUGAGUAACCUGCCUCCUUCUUUGGGAUAACGCCCGGAAACGGGUGCUAAUACUGGAUAUUCACUGGUCUUCGCAUGGGGGCUGGUGGAAAGGGUUUUUCUGGUGGGGGAUGGGCUCGCGGCCUAUCAGCUUGUUGGUGGGGUGAUGGCCUACCAAGGCUUUGACGGGUAGCCGGCCUGAGAGGGUGAACGGUCACAUUGGGACUGAGCUACGGCCCAGGCUCCUACGGGGGGCAGCAGUGGGGACUAUUGCCCAAUGGGCGCAAGCCUGAUGCCGCGUCGCCGCGUGAGGGCUGGGGGCCUUCGGGUUGUGAACCUCUUUCGCUCAUGGUCCAGCCGCAACAAUGGUUGUGGUGAGGGUAGUGGGUAAAGAAGCGCCGGCUAACUACGUG